AUUUAUAUUCGGAAGAAAGUAUUCUUGAGUAAUGUUGCUGUUUGAUUUAUACGUUCAUAAGAUUAAUUAAGAGAUUAAAGACGAUUCUCUCGAGAAAUUAUUGAACAAACGUAUCUUUUUCCUAGAUCAUUAUAUUUACUUCGAUAUUAUCUAUGAUACAGUGUAGAAAGUGCCAUUUAGUAAGCAGAAGAAGUUGCUAGCAAAGUUAGGAUUGGAACUUCAUUCAAUUCAUCAACAACACACUUCUACAUCUUGUACAUCUUCAAGUUUCUGAAAAAUAAGACUAGUGAAGUCUGAUCAAGUGUAUUCAAAUAAGACUUCAAGUUGUAUAAGCCAUGAGCAAUGUUUUAAAUUAGAUAAAUACAAGGGUAAUGAGAAGAAUGGAUACACGACUUCGAUGGAGGAAAGAAAACCUUUUUCGAAGAUUGUUUUUCAAUGGAAAGAUUAUUGAGGAUUGUCUCCCAACCAGCACCAUUGAUGAACUAUUACAGUCUCAUGGUAUUACAGUCUCAAGGUCAAGGCAUACGAAUGUAACCUAAAUGUUAUCAAAAAAGCUGCUUAACAAUCUUCUUCUAUAUAGUAUCAAUGGACGACAAGCUGCUUCCAAAUUUUUCUUCAAGCGAUUGGUGUAAAUAUGUAAUAGUUGAAGCAAAGCUUUAUAUACAAGAAUUCUUUACCUGAGCCUGUUAUAUGGACUGUAAGACCAGUUUACAGAGUUUUUACUGAAAAGUAAAUUUUUAUUUAAAUUAUUUUUUACCCACAAUUUCCGAAAAGCUUUAUUUUUUUUAACAUAUGAUCGUUUUAUCAGCAACUAUUUAGGUUUAUUUUAACUUUUCUAUAGUUCAUUUAUAACAUUUUCUAAUACUAAAUCACUAAAAUUCUGGAGAUAUAGCGAAUAUAAUAAAUUGCCAUAUUGGAGUUGCAUCUUUUUAGAUAGUUUUUUAUUAGAAAGUUGUUAAUAUGAGCAAUAAAACGAAAUCAGAAAAUUAUUUAGAAAUAUAUGAUUUUAUUAGUAUAACUCAUAGAAUCAAUCUAAUACUAAAAGCGAAUUAAAAAACUUCAUGUAUAAGGAAAAAAGGAAACAUGAAAAUCAGUGGGUAUGAUAGAGAAGUAGAGAAUACUAUAUAUAUGUUUACGGUUACAGAUUGAUCUGGAGAAGUAGAAAUGAUACUUAAUAUAUAAGAGUAUGAACAAGAAAUAGACUUUGAGAAUAUCAAGAAUCUCUCACCCAUUCAGGAGUUCUACUAUGGUGAAAAUAUAUUCAUUAUAAAACGAACAGGAUUUAUUGGAAAAUUUUUGAUCAAGAAAUCGUUGAGGACAGAUCCUGUUACGAACUACUUUUGUCUUUUGAUACGUCUAAAAGAAAGGAAGAAUGCUUUAACGCAGUUAUUGUGAUUGAAAAUUUAGUGAGUUGUUUACUUGUGAUCGAAUUAUUAUUUUUAUAUUCUUAUUUCAUCCUGAUUCAACUUACAGGUUUUCUAUUUUCUUAUCAUAUAUAUUUCUUUGGUAGGCAGUAAAAAAGAAUAACUCAAAUUUACUAUCAUUAGUUUUAUAGAAAAGCACUUAUAUAAUAUUUGAAGUGUGAUGUUAACC